rnacentral:rRNA from 1 species
UGGGGAAUUUUGGACAAUGGGGGAAACCCUGAUCCAGCCAUCCCGCGUGUGCGAUGAAGGCCUUCGGGUUGUAAAGCACUUUUGGCAGGGAAGAAAAGGCUCGGGCUAAUAACCUGGGCAAAUGACGGUACCUGCAGAAUAAGCACCGGCUAACUACGUGCCAGCAGCCGCGGUAAUACGUAGGAGACAAGCGUUAUCCGGAGUUACUGGGCGUAAAGGGCGUGCAGGUGGCGUCUUAAGUCUGUUGUGAAAGCGCCUGGCUUAACCGGGCGAGGCCAAUGGGGACGGAGAGGCUGGAGGACGGCGGAGGGGUGUGGAAUUCCGGGUGUAGUGGUGAAAUGCGUAGAGAUCCGGAGGAACACCAGAGGCGAAGGCGGCACUCUAAGCCGUACCUGACACUGAGACGCGACAGCACGGGGAGCAAACG